GCACCCAUAGCUCAAUUGGAUAGAGCAUCUGACUACGGAUCAGAAGGUUAUAGGUUCGACUCCUAUUGGGUGUACCA
rnacentral:tRNA from 1 species